CGAAGACAAUGCUGAAGCACGAGAGGAAGAGAGGCUAGCGAAUCUUAAAGCAAGAAACAGUGAGGAUUUUGCACGAUUUGGGUCUUUCAGAUUUGCAGAUGCUAACGAAGUUUCUAGAGGCAAAGCCAGUCAGCGCCAACCUAAAAGAAAGAAGAGCACCGUAGAAAAGCCUGCUGUUGAAGUAACUCGAGUUCUUAGGUCCCAAAUGACUAGAGAUGUUGAUGACAUGCCAAGUGAUAACAUUGAAGAGCAUGAAGACCAUGAGUUGGUUCAAGAAACGAAGGGGAAGAAGGGGAAAAACACACUAGAAUGCACAAUGUGUAUGAUAGAUUGGGGACAGUCCCACCAAUCCGUGUGGAGUACAAUGGUGAUGGACAACCAAUUGGGGAAAAUGCAUCGGAGUUUUCAAACUUCAUCUCCACACUUGUGAAAAGUAAAAUAUCU